rnacentral:rRNA from 1 species
UACGGAGGGUGCGAGCGUUGUCCGGAAUCAUUGGGCGUAAAGGGCGCGUAGGUGGCCCGGUCAGUUCGUGGUGAAAGCGCGGGGCUCAACCCUGCGUCGGCCAUGAAUACUGCCGCGGCUGGAGCACUGUAGAGGCAGGCGGAAUUCCGGGUGUAGCGGUGGAAUGCGUAGAGAUCAGCAGGAACACCCGUGGCGAAGGCGGCCCCCUGGGCCGUACCUGACGCUGAGGCGCGAAGGCUAGGGGAGCGAACGGG